UGUGUGAAGCUGAGUUACAGUGACAGAGAAAAGCACUUAUGAGUCGCUUUCUUUUUACACACAAACCCAGUGAACUUCAGGGGUUCAAAAUGGAGGAGUCUUAAAGAUGGUAGUAUUUUGAUUUCAUAUGAAAUAAAUAUUAUAUUAUAUAAUAGAUGCUUAAAUAUAUUAAAUAAUAAGUAUAUACUAUAUUAAACAUAUUUAAGUAUUAUUACAUAUUAUCAUAUAUUAUACAUAUGAGGGCUACAUACUUUUGAGGAUUACAAAGCAUUUCAACAAAAUAGAAGCCUGGCAAUUUCAAAAACAGGAAAGCAAAUAGAAAGUUGAGAAGGAGGGGUACUUUUUCACUUCAGAAUCCUCUGUGCCUAUGCAGAACUGCCCAGUGCUUUGUUGUUGAGUAAAGUCAGUGAAGCAGCAAGCAGAAGUAAAUUCCUAGUAAGGAUGCUCCUUAAGCAAAGCUUCAUUACUCAAACAUGUUGAGAACUUUUGAAGGAUUAGAGAUCUUUUUAUCUGAGACCAAAAAGUGAAUAUAUUUGGGCAUAUUCUAAAUAAUAACCUCACCAGAAAAAAAAAAAGUGAUUUGCUCAUCCUACAAAUGCCUAGUUAAAUGUCCAUUAUCCCAUUUGAAACCACACUUGAAUAUAAAAUUAAGUAGUUCCUGUGUCAGCUUAUGGAAUAAACAUUGCUGAGACUAAAAAAGACCCAGGCCCAGAGCUAAGUUUAAUGAAGUGAAGAUGCUUGUCUUGAUGAGGCAGAGUGUGUGUGAAAGGGAGGAACAUGUUUCCCACCUUAUUUCAGUCAUUGCACAAAGAGCAAUCUAGACAAUAUUCUUGGAGGUAAGCUUUCUGAAGAAAAAGUAUGCAUAUACUCAGCCUUAUGUUUUCAUAACAAAAUCCAAGGGGUCUCAAAAACAUACAUUUAGUUUUCAUUGCUCCAAUGUCUAGGAAACCCAAUCUGGUCAAAGCAGCCCUUGCUGAGACUUCAUCUAAGCCUGGUUGCUUUCCAUGGAUCUCCAUCACCAAAUAUCACAUCCUAUGGUUGAAAAGAUUUCACAUGUGAACGGUGGACGGGGUCCCAGACAUUUGGUCAUUACACAAGAAGGAAGAAUGGAAGGCACAUGGAAAAUUUAAUAGGGCCUCAUAUCUCUCUGCCUCAGGUUUUUAGUAGUAGUAACAACGGUGUGCUUCAUUUCGUAAGUCAUCUUUAUUAGUAAAUAAAAGAUUAAUUAAAAGGAAAGCCCAUGUUAAUGUGGGAAAUUUACAUAUUUUAUACACCUCAUAGAGUCAUCCCUUCUGUAAAUUUUCUCUUUAAAUGAAAUAUGUGAAAUCUUUAGCUCGGUCUAGCCUGUUGAUUAUCUCAGUUGGAGCCAGGCUUAAGGUUCUAAAGUGCAGAAUGAACUUGCCUCUCUUCCCUUCUCUCCCCCAGUAACAGUUUGCUUUGCUCCACAUAAGUCUGGAGAGCCCCAGGCUGGGUUGCAUAGCUCCUGAAUUUAAUUGAAAUGGAAAAACCAUGAAAGUAGAAUGUUAAAUAUGUCAAAUGAAUGGAAUGAAUUAAGAGUUAGCAUACACUAGAUUUUUUUUGAGAUGUAUGAGAUAAUUAAGAAGUUGGGUUUUUUAGAGAUUAGUUUCCAUUAUUUAGCUAAGAUAGAUAAUCACCAUUCUGUUUGUUAGAGUAGGUGCAUAAACGUAAAUUUUUCUGGAGAGUGUAAUACAUCUAUUAAUUUUUGUGUAGCUGUAUACACAGGGCACAGAAGUAUAUAACAUAUAAUUAUGGAUAAUAAAUUCAAAAUAAAAUAAGGAUUAGGUCUACCUAGCAUGGCAUAUGGCAACUAAGCUCUUUUCUUCUUUGGGUCUUCAGGGUCUGUCUGCUUGCUAGUUCCUAUAUUGUCCAUAGUAGACAAAUGCUUGUCCCCUGGAUGAGGCAGAAAUCAGGCAUCUUGUCAGUAGCUUUGCUCCAAGCGUGGUGACCCAACUUGGCAGAGGUACAGUUUCCAUAGUGUAAAAUAACAGAUGUCUGCCUUGGUCACAAGCUCAAAUCUCAGUUUCUGCCAUUGAUAUCAUCUAUGUCCUUUUUCAAAAGAGAAAGAAAUAGGCAGCAGCCUUUUGACAUGUUAGCAGUACUUUAACAGGAAAACAAACAGAAACUUCAAUAUUAAAGAAGAAAGUAAAACUCUAAAUAAUAUCAUCUUUUCUUUGAGGCUGUGGAGUCUCUUGCUUGUAAGUAUAAUGGCUCAUAUUUAAAUUGGAAUGUUGCUUUAAACCCUGAAUUUCUUUCAAUCUCCUAGAUGCACACUUGAUUUUCUCUCUUGGUCUCUCUGGAAAUUCCUUAACAAAAAGCACUGUCUUGCAUCUUCCACCCUACUACAGACCUAUUGAAUGCUGGCUGUCAUCCCUCUCUAGAAAGCCUGGAUCACAUUUUAGAACAGUGGUUUGAAGCCUUCCUAGUGCGGGGCCCUUCAAUUCAGUUGUCAUGUUCUGGUAACCACGCCCCCUAAACAUGAAGUAUUUCCAUUGCUUCUUCAUAACUGUACAUUGCCUACUGUUAUUAAUCAUAAUAAAAAUAUCUGACAUGCAGGGUAUCUGAUGUGUGACCCCUGUGGGAGUCACAAACCACUGGCCUAGAUGAAAUAUAUUUGCUUAAAGUCUCAAGAUUUUUACAUAGAGACCUCACCCACAACUUAUUCUCACUGAAUUUAAAAGCCACAGUGAAUUUCCUUCAGUUUUCAACAAUUCUAAAAUAUAUUAAUUGUUUGUACAUUCAAAGUAUGGAAAAUAUAUUAGUAGUAAUGGCAAACUUUUAGAUAAUAUUUACCUAGAUUAUUUCACUUGAGACAUUUUCCACAAAGGAAGGACAUUAUUGACAUAUGAAUUUGAGAACCUUACAAAUAAAUGAUCACAUAAAUCUUUAUUUCAAAUUUGUGGGGUUUCAUUUACCUUACAACAUAAAAGCUGUUGUGGAAAAGUUCUAAUGUAUUUAAGAAAAGGAUUCCCAAUUCAGGUUGGAGUUUUAAUAGGCCAAAUGCCAUCUGUCUCUCCAAUUUGUAACAUUUUAUUAUUAACAAGCCCUGAAGAAGGAGCCAGUCUAUUUCUGUUGUGGGGACAGAUUUGUGUCCAUCUGUGCCCGCCCUGUCGCAUGUCACUUGUGCUUCGGAUCUGCAUAGCUGUGAGGCAGUAGAGAUGCAGGCGAGGUCAGGAGGUGGAGAAGCCUGUCAGCGCCUCGAGUGUCCAAGCCUGUGACAACUGCAGACCGUAGCUUCCAAUGCCUCCUGGAGGCCACCAUUCUGUUGGGCCUUGGAGCUGCGCCUUCCCUGAUGUAAUUUCACGAGAAAAUGUUAACUUUUUCUAUUU
rnacentral:lncRNA from 1 species